rnacentral:rRNA from 1 species
GAUGAACGCUGGCGGCGUGCUUAACACAUGCAAGUCGAACGGUGAAAGAGAGCUUGCUCUCUGGAUCAGUGGCGAACGGGUGAGUAACACGUGAGCAAUCUGCCCCUGACUCUGGGAUAAGCGCUGGAAACGGCGUCUAAUACCGGAUACGAGCUGCGAAGGCAUCUUCAGCAGCUGGAAAGAACUUCGGUCAGGGAUGAGCUCGCGGCCUAUCAGCUAGUUGGCGAGGUAACGGCUCACCAAGGCGUCGACGGGUAGCCGGCCUGAGAGGGUGACCGGCCACACUGGGACUGAGACACGGCCCAGACUCCUACGGGAGGCAGCAGUGGGGAAUAUUGCACAAUGGGCGAAAGCCUGAUGCAGCAACGCCGCGUGAGGGACGACGGCCUUCGGGUUGUAAACCUCUUUUAGCAGGGAAGAAGCGAAAGUGACGGUACCUGCAGAAAAAGCGCCGGCUAACUACGUG